GUUAUGGUAGCCCAAAAAUUAAGGCACUGGUCUUGUAAACCAGAGAUUGGAGAUGAAAUUCCUCCCCAAAACA
rnacentral:tRNA from 1 species